CCUACGGGAGGCAGCAGUGAGGAAUAUUGGUCAAUGGACGAGAGUCUGAACCAGCCAAGUAGCGUGAAGGAUGACUGCCCUAUGGGUUGUAAACUUCUUUUAUAUGGGAAUAAAAUGUUCCACGUGUGGGAUUUUGUAUGUACCAUAUGAAUAAGGAUCGGCUAACUCCGUGCCAGCAGCCGCGGUAAUACGGAGGUUCCGAGCGUUAUCCGGGUUUAUUGGGUUUAAAGGGAGCGUAGGUGGAUUGUUAAGUCAGUUGUGAAAGUUUGCGGCUCAACCGUAAAAUUGCAGUUGAAACUGGCAGUCUUGAGUACAGUAGAGGUUGGCGGAAUUCGUGGUGUAGCGGUGAAAUGCUUAGAUAUCACGAAGAACUCCGAUGGCGAAGGCAGUUCACUGGACUGCAACUGACACUGAGGCUCGAAAGUGUGGGUAUCAAACAGGAUUAGAUACCCGUGUAGUC
rnacentral:rRNA from 1 species